AUGAGGGAUCUGCCCUGUGGUAGCGAGCCUGUAAUCCCAGCUGCUGGGGAGGCUGAGGCAUGGGAAUCUCUUGAACCCGGGAGGCGGAGCUUGCAGUGAGCCGAGAUCAAGCCACCGCACUCCAGCCUGGGCAACAGAGCGAGACUCCGUCUCACAAAAUAAAUAAAAGCCCCGUCUCCAAAUAUGUCACAUUGUGAGGUACCCGGGGUCAAGACUUCAACAUAAGUUGGCGGGGGGCGGGGUGCAGGGCAUAACCCUGCCCAUGACAGCCCUGGUUCAUUUCUGAACUGGUUGAAGGCUGCCUCCCUCUGCCCUUGACGCCGCACCACCUUCCUGCCUGGAUCCUCUGCUCCCAUGUACUGUCCACAUGCUGCUCGAGGGCUCCUUCUUAUGCGCCACCUAUCCUGCUUCUCAGCCCUCAGUGAAGCCCAGUUCCUUCACAGGACGCAGGAAUCCCUCUUGAACCUGGCCCUACCUUUCUCGCCUGCCUGUGUUCCUUCCAUACUUCUUGUCUUGCGCUUGUCCCAGUGGGCGCUGAACUGCUGUGACCUGGCUGUGCUGUUUCCUGACUCGAUACUUCUGCUUCUAUUUAUGCCCUCACCCUGAGUUUUUUGCCUUUGCCUGCCUACCCCUUCUUCAUUCUUCAAAAUUGACAGUGAGAGGGAGACUUCUGUGGUUCCUUGAAUUCCAUCCCAGUUCUGGCUUCUGGCCCAGAGAGACUUGCAUGCAUGCACAGAACUCAGCACAGGCAGACGGCAUGUGGACAGAUCACAGCACAGCGGCCCUUUGUGAGGAACAAUGACAAUGACUUCCACCUCUUCCGGGGAGAAGCCCAGAUGAGGAGGUCAGUUGCUGUGGCCUGUCAGCCCUAGAGGUGAUGUCACCGUCUCCCGAGGACAAAACCUUCAUUUAGCUGCAAGAGGGAACAGAUGAAGUUGGCAAGAGUUCGCAUGCUAGCCAGUGCUCCAGGGUGAGGUAGCAGUGGUCCCUAAUUUCAAAUGGGAGUUAAAUUGGUCUUCCCAAAUCACUACCAUGGCCCAGUUGUUAUUUUAAUGGUGUUUUCCUCAUGGUUUUGUGUGGCAUGGUAGCAAAAUGUUAUUGAGUUGCCUUCAUUCUUCUGUUAUCUCUAACCACAUAUCCAGCUUCCUGAGUUUCUCUUUUUCAUUUAUAAAAUAGGAACGAUGACAGUACCUGACUUAAAACUCUACCAUGUUAAACAACAACAACAACAAAACGGUAGCUCUCUCAGGUUGAUUCCAAGGCUGGGAUCGGGAAAGUACUAAAUGAGCCUAGACUCUUGCCAUGCCAUAGGCGAGGAAGUGCUCAGAUAAUGGUGUGGGCAUGUCAAAAGAACAGGAGCUGGCUGGAAAGAGCUCUCACCAGCCAAAUUUGGGAUAAUUUGAGUAUCAAAAUAAAUGAUGAUGGUAAUGGAGAGUAAACAAUGGAACAAAAUAGGAAUUCAUGAGUCUGUAGUGAUAUAAAUGUACGAAUCAGUGGGAGAGAAGGGAAAGCUCUUCCCUACAGUAGAAUGCCAACCAAUAAACUUAGAAGAAAUAAUGGGAUUAGAAAAGGAACCAUUUGGCAAUCACCACGGUAACAACUGAUUCAGGCAGAAAAUCAUCAACGGAUGCUAAAGUCAUGGUUUGAAUGGUGAGAAUUUGAUGAGAAAUAUCUCUCAACAAGAUACUAAUUAAAAUGGGAAAAGUAGAAACUACAGUGGAGAAAUCUGCCAGUACUACUUCGUAGAUGAUUAAAGUGAACAUCAUCCGCAAUGGGAGAGAAAAGAAUCACACGCUUUCUGUUGAGAUGCGCUGAGAUGGACAAAAUGUCAUCUUGCAGGUAUUCUUGCCGAGAAAGCACAUGCCUGAAUCUAAUCAUAAAGAAGCAUCAGGCAGGGGGCUGGGCGUGGUGGCUCACGCCUGUAAUCCCAGCACUUUGGGAGGCCGAGGCGGGCGGAUCACGAGGUCAGGAGACCGAGACCAUCCUGGCCAACACGGUGAAACCCCGUCUCUACUGAAAAUACAAAAAAUUAGCCGGGCGUGGUGGCGGGCGCCUGUAGUCGCAGCUACUUGGGAGGCUGAGGCAGGAGAAUGGCGUGAACCCGGGAGGUGGAGCCUGCAGUGAGCCGAGAUCGCGCCACUGCGCUCCAGCCUGGGCGACAGAGUGAGACUCCGUCUCAAAAAAAAAAAAAAAGAAAAAAGAAAAAAAAAAAGCAUCAGGCAAACUCAAAUUAAGGGAGAUCCAAAAAAGAAUGUCCCAUGUCAUUCAAAAAUGUCAAUGUCAUAAAUGACAAGCACUGAGGGAUUGUACUGAUAUAGAGGAGACUAAAGAGAAAUGAAGACCAAGUGCAACCUGGACCUUGCAGCAGUAGAAAAUAUUAAAACAACAAGAACUAUAAAGGACAUAAAGGGAACCACUGACAAAACUGGAAUAAAAUCUGUAGAUU